rfam:Myotis brandtii contig162655, whole genome shotgun sequence.
GGCAGUUCUCAGGUGACACACCCCAAAAUCAGGCUCCCUCCUCUCUGGUUCUGGGGUGCAUCACCCAAUAACCACC